rnacentral:rRNA from 1 species
AGCAGCCGCGGUAAUUCCAGCUCCAAUAGCGUAUAUUAAAGUUGUCGCAGUUAAAAAGCUCGUAGUUGAAUUUCGGGAUCAGUUGAUCGGUCGUGCCUCGGUACGUACUGGUCAAAUUGAUUCCUACCUUCUGACGAACCACGAUGUCAUUAAUUUGAUGUCGCGGGAAAUCAGGACUGUUACUUUGAAAAAAUUAGAGUGUUUAAAGCAGGCUCGCGCUUGAAUACAUUAGCAUGGAAUAAUGAAAUAGGACGUUUGAUUCUAUUUUGUUGGUUUCUAGGAUCGACGUAAUGAUUAAUAGGGAUAGUUGGGGGCAUUAGUAUUCAAUUGUCAGAGGUGAAAUUCUUGGAUUUAUUGAAGACUAACUACUGCGAAAGCAUUUGCCAAGGAUGUUUUCAUUAAUCAAGAACGAAAGUUAGGGGAUCGAAGACGAUCAGAUACCGUCGUAGUCUUAACCAUAAACUAUGCCGACUAGGGAUCGGAUGAUGUUAAUUUUUUAAUGACUCAUUCGGCGCCUUAC